AUUAAUUUAAUAAAGUGACGACCUCUGUAUAAUGUACUGACCGGGACUCUACAUUAGUUUGAGAAAGUGACGCCCUGACACAAAAGUUACCAGAAGUGUAUUGUAUUAUAACAGUACUGCUUCAAAAUUUAAACAUAAACUUUUACUGAACCGGAUCUGAUCAAAGAAAUGAAAAUUGUAUGCCUGGGUUUAGUUAUCAUAGCAAUAGAGGCCUCAGUUAUACCUACACGCCACUAUUUCAACAGAGUACUGCGUGUAGCCCCGGCGGAUCACAAUUUAAAUAAACUCAGUUCUAAUACCGGAAUCCUAAGCGCUAUAAUGUGUGCAUUGUACUGUCAAGAUCAUCCAUCUUUCUCGUACACGGAGGUCGAUAGAAGGUGUGACAUUUACUCCCGAGUAAUUGUCGAAGAGAUGAAUGCUAAUGUUUCACGUCUAAAAUGUACUUCUCUAAAGCCUCCGGUGUUCACCAAAUAACUGCUACAGGAGGCAGAACUAUCAAGGCGUUCUUAGACAUGGACACUGCCGAUGGACCCUGGACUGUGAUACAGAGACGAACAAGUAAAGAUGUCGAUUUCUAUCGGAACUGGAGAGACUACAAGAACGGUUUCGGGGAUUUACUGGGGAAUUUCUGGAUUGGUAAGUCUGUAUGGAACCAACGUUAUAUGAGAACUUCUGGAUUCGUAGGUCCUAAUUAAAAUACCAAGAAAUAACUAGAUUGGUAAGGGAUAUAUUUAAAUUGAUUUGUUAACAUAAGACUGCACGGAUAGAAGAAAAAACAGUGGCUUAAAAUGUUAUUUAUAGAAGGGAGAGUCAAUGAACUCAAUUAAUACGUUGUAAUACGAAUUAGUUAUAGAUAUGGGAAAUCCAGAAUACGAAAUAUAGAACUGCUUCAAACAGCUGUCUUUCGGGGACAGAUAAGUAAGUAUAGGGGUGUUGAUAGAUUCACGUGUUUAUUUAAUAAAUGAAUUCCAAUAAUUAUGCAUCACCAGUUUACAGCCUUGAUAAGAUGAACUAAUAAAUUGUAAUUAAAUGGUUUAUAAUCUCUUGAACACGAUUGUGUGUGGUAUAGGAGAGACUUAUAAGGAAAAUUAUGUUCAAAUAUAUUUCGAUGUAGCAUUGAAUCGAUACAAAAUUGCAACAUUUCAAACGUCAAAAGUACAUUCGGUAUAUUUUUGUGCAGGGAGUAAUUCUCAGAUAUGUUAAUUUGUCUGUUUACCUUAACGUUCAUGUUACGAUAAUGCAUUCCAUUGGAUCCAAUCUAUACUUGCUCGUAACAUAAAUUAUUACAUUCGAUACAUUUCCUAUAACAGAUACAUGUAAUAAUGGUAGUAUGUGGAAUUUCAAAUGACCAUCAGCAUUAUGGAAUCCAUUAGUUGUUAUACAUGUCGCUGAUGUAUAUAAUAACAUAGUAUUGACAAUGUCUUCCUGGUCUUGUCCUUAACUUAUAUCUAUCUUUACGGAAGGCAAUGACAACCUUCAUCUGCUAACUACCACCCCGAGGAUCCUCCGAGUGGAACUAGAGGCCGGGGACGGGACUAAAGGAUAUGCCGAGUACUCGAAAUUCCAGGUGGCCAAUGAAGAUCAGACCUACAGACUUCUCGUGCAGGGGUUCUCCGGCAACGUUACCGAUGGCAUGGCCUACCAUAACAACCAAUCAUUUAGCACAUACGACAGCGAUAAUGACGAAUAUCCUGGCAAAUGUGCAAUCUCUGAUCAUGGUGCUUGGUGGUACAAGAGCUGUUACGAAAUCCAACUGAAUGGGCGAUAUCCGACAGAGGAGGGAUUCCCUAAAAAGGAACUGAUGUCGUGGUAUCGCUUCUCCGAUGUCCUGACGAAAUCCAAGAUGAUGAUUCGAUAGAAUUUAGUCGGUGAUGGCUCUGAUAUUGGUGGCAGUUCAAUGUUGAGGUAAACAGUAUGUAUGUUUUCAUUGUUAAGUUGAUCCAUGGAUUACAAUAACGGUGUACCCUUCACAUGGAUAAUGACAUAUACCGUGAUAACUGUGCCAUCAUUUCUGAAGGUGACUGGUGGAACGGACGAUACAUUAUGACGGGGUAACAAUUAUCUUUCGAACUUUCCCUAACAUCAUAGCAAUACUCCUUUGGAGAGAACCAAGAUGUGUAUUCGAUAGAUACACGAUAGCGCCGGAUUGAUUUUGAAAAUAGAGACCAUGUUUAUUGAAAAACAAUACUUACGUCAUAUCACUUUAUAAUUUGUCAUUUUUUUUUCAGAUACUGUUAUUACAAUACUGCGUAAAACAAACAACAACAACAACAACAAGUGUUCAAUAUAUUUUUCUGCUAUAUAUUUGAUCUUCUAUUUGAUAUUCCAACGUUAACCGUGUUUACAUAUUCGUCAAUACAUAACGGAAUAGGAAUCAUGCCAUGUGAACCAGAAGCAUUUAGGAUUUUAUGAAAAUUAUUCGUAAUACCUAACAUCGAAUUUCAAUUGGAUGAAAUUGUUUUCAGAUUUUUGUUUUUCAAGUGUUUUCACAUUAUAUGUAGUUGAUGUUAUGAACGAAAUAUGCUUUAUGUAAUUCAUAAUACAUUAUAUUUUAUCACUUAA